CUCUUGAACUCUCACUUGGAUCAACAGCCAAAUCAUCACACCUUGUCGUUAGGUUGCCAUCGACGUAGCUCCCAUCAUUAGACCUCCCCCACGCACUCGGCCGUCUCCGGCAGCUACCGUCCGUCGCCUCUCCGGCGGCGAGUUUUGCUGCAAGCAACAAAGUUUCCCCUCUUUUCUCAUGGCUUCUUCUCCACUUCUCUAACCUCCAUUAAUGGAUUUCAAGGUUGAAGCUUUGUUUCCCCAAACUCAUGUUUCUUGCGAAUUAAGGGGUGGCGCAUCCAAGGCUCGAGGAUGGACAACCUAAACCAAGCUUGAGGAGGUUAUUUUGAAUUUCAGCUUUCGAGGUUAAGGAGUCGGUGACGGGGCAGCAGUCAACGUGGUCCACGGUCUCCCAGCCGCUAUGUUUGACUAGUAGACCGUUUGGUAUUUGGGUAAAAGUGAAUUGUUUGGAGAGUAAACUUGAUAACUUUUAUGCUAUUAUAUUUUGAAUGAUGUAGGUUUCAAUCCGAUUAAGCAGGAUAUUUUAUUUUGGUUGGA